AAUCAACAGGUUCUUCACAAACAGCUGAGCUGUGUCUGCAAAAGGAUCAAGAAACACCUGAGAGAGCAGGAAUCACUACAGCCAUCCCAAGGUAAACCAUUCCCCCACUCAUGAAUCACAUCUGCUAUCUCUUCACUUUGGUAGCUCACUGAAAAUCUGCAAGAGCCUGGAUUCCCACAAAUACAUAGCCUUUGAAAAUAGCAUGGAAUUGUCUCCAAGAAUCUUACCAAGAAGUUUUGCAUGCUGCUCAGAAGAGUCCAGACUUAGAAAAUAACCACACAGCUCCGGAAAUUAAUUUCCAGCUUUCCCUCUUCUAAACUUUCCAUUUUGUUCCUGACUUGCUGUGAGUCUGAUUGAGUUAUUUCAGAACACAACUGAACAGCCAAGUCAGAAACCCUAUUAGCUAUGUCAACAAGACGUAGCUGAUUGCCCAGAACAGUUGACGCACAAACCCACAGAGAUUAAAAAAAAAUAUAUCUGAAAACCCAAAAAACCCAAUAAAAAUUAAAUAGUGACUUCCAUCAGUUUUAAAUAGUUUUUCCAUCAAUUUCAGAAGGCAAUUGGUAAAUGGGACCAGAACUGUGACCUUUAUGAAACAGAGUUCUCUUGUUUAACAUGGAGCACAAGUUUUCCAUCAGAGGUAAAUGCAAGGUCUUUAUAUACAAACCUAAGUCCUGACUGCUGAAGCAUCAUUGGUACUGCAAGAUGUGUGCUUUGGCAGUGAACUCUGCCUCUAUGUGGGAGUUAGGACUUGUUAUGGAGAAAUCUCUCAAAGGAUUUCCAAGGCUUCCACCUACUGUUGUAUUCUCUUCAGCAACACAGGAACAAUACAUUUGUUAUCGGUCAGAUUUUGCUGUCAUUGACUGUCAGCAUCAAAGCUUGGAAAAGCAACAUCUGCCUCAGAGGGGUUAUUGUGCCUGAAGCAACCCUUCUCCCCAGAGCUCCAGCAAACCUGAGUGCUGUGGAGUUAGUUUAGGCAGUCGAAGCUCAGGUGAAUGUGGUCUCAGUGCAGUGCAAGAUGGGGAUGCACUUGUUAGCUCAUCUUGAGAUCUAUCCUGUUUCACCAGGUGCUGGUGAGUGAGCCUUGUGACCAGUGGAAAUAUUCAUCUGCCUUUCUGGGUAAAUUAUGGGGGAUCUGGAGGGCUCUUUCCAUGCAGCUUGAGAGUGUAGCAAAGGGAUUAGGUUUCCAAGAUGAGCAACAGCAUAAUCCAGCUUCAAAAGCAGGGCCAGCACUGGUACCCAGGAGAUCCCUGCAUGAUGACAGAUGAGAUUGCAGGCACCUCCACUGAGCAAGUAUAGAGACAGGCUGACCUCAAAGCUGAAGGGAUGCCACAGACUCCCUAUUCUGACCAUACAUCAGGCUUUUCUCCUGUUAACAGUUGGAUUAUUCCCCUGCUCCAAGCACAAAGUUUUUGAUCACACUGGUCUUUAAGCAGGGCAGGUUUUCCCCAGAAAAUCUCUUCUAUCAUAGCCAGCUACAGGCUUUUGCCCACUUUGACCACUCUUAGUUCUGCUUCCUAAACAUCGGCUGCAACAGAAAGAAAGAAUUCAAAGAAAGCCCCAAAACUACUGUGCAAAUACAGGUUCAGUGGAGAGACCUGACCCACAGCCUGGUCUUUCAUCAUGCAGGGACAAGGGUCUCACCGGUGGAUGUGACCCCUGGGAGGGUGCAGUGGAGGGCUGCAUCCUUGGCACUGCAGGUUCACCACAUGUCCAGGCCAGGCCUCUUUGAAGCUUUAUGCUUUGUUUUCUCUGCAAAUAGACUAGAAAUGACCUAACAUGCUCCUGCUCCUUUGAGCUUAAGCAGCUUUUCUGCUUUUGCCAUGUCAGGAAUAAAAAGAGCUGUUUAGGUUUCUAGGCUGCUGAGCACACUUUGAGCUGUGUAGCCAUGGACAGGCCAUGGUGGGCUCCCACCCUGGACCACAUCCAAACUGUGUCAUUGCCAAGUGCCUGAGAUCUGUAGAAGUAUUUGAAAAAUACCUUCUUACAUGGUGUCUCCCAUGGGCCCAUCGCAAGCUGCUUUUCUGCUCAGUGAAAUGUGGCAUUGGAAAGGGAAUUUGUUUUUCCUGAGGACAGGAAAACCACAGAGGGUCACGUCUUUACCCUUGCCUGGGCACAGAUCCCACCUUGCUGCCCACCCUCCCUAUUGCUCCUAUCACCGUGGCUGGAUUAGGCAGUUGUAGAAGAGCCAAAGUUCGUGUUGCUCAUGAGUGGGAAAAGUGAUGACUUUUUUUGCUUAAAUGCCAGAAACUGAAGUUUAUGUGUGUUGGCAAUUAAGAAUCACUCCGAGCAGCCAAGAAGUGCCUUACCUGUAGUAUGUUUGUACAUCUAAAAGGAAUGAUCAGUCCCACCAAAGAGGUGUUUUUCUUCUAAAUGGAGCAUUAUUAAUCUCAACAACAGAUCUUUGUUCAUGUAUAUUUUCUGAAAGAUACAAAUGAUUACUUUAGACCAUGGAAAUGCUGCUUAGAAAGGUGAGUUUCCUUCAGCAGCUGGGACUGUGGCUACAGGAUUUCUCCCCCGGAUCCUAAUGUACCUGCUGCCCAGUCCUAUAAACCUGAUGGGUAAAUUCCGACUCUGCCUUUCCAUCAAUAGUUAUUUUUGAGAUCAGAACUUUCCCAGAAGGCAUCUGUUUUUUGGGGAAGAAGGUUGGUUUUUUCCAAUAUGAAAAGUCACUGUCUCAAAGGCGUGGGGUUUGCCCUUCAUCCCCUUCAUUCCUGUGAUUGUUUUGGCCCUGAAUGCACCCGAGCAUGCUUGGGACUGGUCUGCCUGCAUUGCUGUCCUUGCAUUUGGGGCCAUAAAGAGGGAACCCCAACUGAAUAUUGAACUCCGAAUCUGUGGAAUACUUUGCAAAACCCACAGAGCACAACUUUGACCAAACAGUUUACUGCUUCUCUUGUCUUUUUUGUUUUUCUUGUUGUUCCUAAGCCAGAUCCACUUCUCUCAAUGUGAAAUACAGACAGAUUCGCACCCUAGGUGCAUACUUUCUGGGCAUGAUGAAAUGAGGUUUGGGUGUUGAUAGCAGUGUUUGAGUGAGCUGCUGGUCAGAGAAGUGAAUGCUAUUUACUAUUUAUGUUGAGUGAGUUUUAAAAAAACAGGAAAGGUCACUAGAAGGCUAAUGAGCAAAGGACUUUGUAGAGCAAACUGAAGACUAAAGGCUGCGUGAAUCCGAUCUAGAGGCGAAUGGUUCUGUGUUUGAACACCAUGAGCUAGCAUAUUUAGCCAUUGUAGUUUUAACCUGCCUUUUUUCCUGUAGGAAAGGGCAUCCUUGUCUUCUUUAGAGCCAAACCAAAAUCAGAGCCAUACUCUGUCACAGUCAUUCAGUCCCACUCUGAACAACAGUGUUCCCCAGGCUUGCAGGGGACUGUGCGUAUCAAGCACACAUGCACAGAGCUGUGCCUCUGUGGAGAGGGGGAGCACUUUAUAGGGAAUGAUAGAUCUUGUUGUGGGAUGUUAAAAUUUCUCCACUCUGCUCCCUGAGGAUCAUCACUCGCAGAUUGAUCUGUUCUGAACAUCUUCCCUAAAGCUCUCCUAUAACCAUUGUAUUUUAUAAGCCUUGGGAGGCACUGAUUCUUUUUCAGAUACUGUGAUGGCCAUCAAAAUGAGCAAAGUAUCCUACCAGGUGAAUUGUGACCUGAAGAUGGGUUUGAAAGGUGUUUGAAGGUUAGAGAAGGAAGAAGAGAACAUGUAACUGGUGGAAAUGCAUAAGGAUGUGUCAUAUUUUUUAUUUUUGUAAGUCUGAUUCUCUAAGUGCUUGUAAAGUACUUUACUGUUGUAUAUGUGGUGAUGCAGUAGUUCACAAUAUCCUUUUAUUUUUGUAUAUUCCCCCCUCCACAAUAAUCCCUUUCUGUUCAACUCAGAGAGAGUAAUUUAAGAAGACAAAAUUUAUAUAUCAUAAUAAAAUGCUCAA
rnacentral:lncRNA from 1 species